UCCCCCUACAGAGCACAUCUUCAUCCAUGUGCUGUGAGCCGAAAGCCUGAGUCUGCAUUCAAAAUCAAUUACACAUUUCUACAGAGCUUUGCUGCCAGGCAACAGGGCACAGUGGAGUGACAGCAAUUAGAAGUGGCAAAGGGAAUUCUGGACUAGAAAGAUGGCUGGUACAAUAACAGUGCAAACACUGAGUUUUGAAAAUGGUAACAUCUGUCUGAUUGACAAGAAUCUGGAGCUGCCUAGAGCUAAUAUCUGAAACACUGGAGCUGCAACUUCUGAAGUAACUGUGUCUUUUGGCAAGGCCCGUAGAGUAUGAAGGAGAUGAACCACAGCACUGGAAACAGAGAGCCUAAUUAUAACAUGAGCAAAAGAAAAUAAAGUUAACUCCAAAAACCCCAAAAGCAAUAAACUGCUGACAAGAAGAGCCAUAGACCCAGCAGCAAGAAAAUACACAGCAAUCUUCAGGCAUUCUGAGUGGAAGGCACUUAACACAGGAGUAUAACUCAAAUUAGUUGUACAGUUAUUUCUGGAAGUAUUUUGACAUUUGCAGUGAACUGUAGUCUAACAGACUGAGCCAACAGAAACAAAACUGUUCUUUUGCACAUAAUAAGCACUCAUUGUUUAGAAGCAAUCUCGUGCCUAUAAUGCAAUUUUGUGACAGCUAUACAUUGCAUUAACACCAGAUCAUGUUUGGAUGGCAAG